AUUGGACGCUGGCGGCAUGCCUUACACAUGCAAGUCGAACGGCAGCACGGGGGCAACCCUGGUGGCGAGUGGCGAACGGGUGAGUAAUGCAUCGGAACGUGCCCAUUAGUGGGGGAUAACCAGUCGAAAGAUUGGCUAAUACCGCAUAUGACCUACGGGGGAAAGGGGGGGAUCUUCGUACCUCUCGCUAUCAGAUGAGCCCAUGUGAGAUUAGCUAGUUGGUGGGGUAAAGGCUCACCAAGGCGACGAUCUGUAACUGGUCUGAGAGGAUGAUCAGUCACACUGGAACUGAGACACGGUCCAGACUCCUACGGGAGGCAGCAGUGGGGAAUAUUGGAUAAUGGGCGCAAGCCUGAUCCAGCCAUGCCGCGUGUGUGAAGAAGGCCUUAGGGUUGUAAAGCACUUUCAGUGGGGAGAAAGGUUAUUCACCUAAUACGUGAGUAAAUUGAUGUUACCCACAGAAGAAGCACCGGCUAACUCCGUGCCAGCCGCCGCUGUAAAAC
rnacentral:rRNA from 1 species